rnacentral:rRNA from 1 species
UACGUAGGGUGCAGGCGUUAAUCGGAAUUACUGGGCGUAAAGCGUGCGCAGGCGGUUUCCUAAGUCAGAUGUGAAAGCCCCGGGCUUAACCUGGGAACUGCGUUUGAAACUGGGAGACUAGAGUGUGGCAGAGGGGGGUGGAAUUCCACGUGUAGCAGUGAAAUGCGUAGAUAUGUGGAGGAACACCGAUGGCGAAGGCAACCCCCUGGGUUAACACUGACGCUCAUGCACGAAAGCGUGGGGAGCAAACAGG